rnacentral:misc_RNA from 1 species
AACGCACCUUGCGCUCCUUGGUAUUCCGAGGAGCAUGCCUGUUUGAGUGUCAUGAAAUUCUCAACCCACCCCACUUUUGUGCGAUGGGCUUGGAUUUGGGGGGUUCUUAACUGCUGGUCGACCAUCCUCGAUCGGCUCCCCUUGAAGGCAUUAGCCCAGGACCUUUGCCUCCCGGCCAGUUUCACGGUGUGAUAGUCUAUCAACGCCGGUGUUUCUGGUGUCAGGCGUGGCAAGACAGCGGUCCGGCUCUCUAAAUGACUUUGAAAGUCACUUCCUUAAAUCUGACCUCAAAUCAGGUAGGACUACCCGCUGAACUUAA